rnacentral:rRNA from 1 species
UUAAGCGACUAAGCGUACACGGUGGAUGCCCUGGCAGUCAGAGGCGAUGAAGGACGUUCUAAUCUGCGAAAAGCGUCGGUAAGGUGAUAUGAACCGUUAUGACCGGCGAUGUCCGAAUGGGGAAACCCAGUGCAAUUCGUUGCACUAUCGUUAACUGAAUACAUAGGUUAACGAGGCGAACCGGGGGAACUGAAACAUCUAAGUACCCCGAGGAAAAGAAAUCAACCGAGAUUCCCCCAGUAGCGGCGAGCGAACGGGGAGCAGCCCAGAGUCUGAAUCAGCUUGUGUGUUAGUGGAACGGUCUGGAAAGUCCGACGGUACAGGGUGAUAGUCCCGUACACCAAAAUGCACAGGCUGUGAACUCGAAGAGUAGGGCGGGACACGUGGUAUCCUGUCUGAAUAUGGGGGGACCAUCCUCCAAGGCUAAAUACUCCUGACUGACCGAUAGUGAACCAGUACCGUGAGGGAAAGGCGAAAAGAACCCCGGCGAGGGGAGUGAAAAAGAACCUGAAACCGUGUACGUACAAGCAGUGGGAGCACCUUCGGGUGUGACUGCGUACCUUUUGUAUAAUGGGUCAGCGACUUAUAUUCUGUAGCAAGGUUAACCGUAUAGGGGAGCCGCAGGGAAACCGAGUCUUAACUGGGCGUUAAGUUGCAGGGUAUAGACCCGAAACCCGGUGAUCUAGCCAUGGGCAGGUUGAAGGUUGGGUAACACUAACUGGAGGACCGAACCGACUAAUGUUGAAAAAUUAGCGGAUGACUUGUGGCUGGGGGUGAAAGGCCAAUCAAACCGGGAGAUAGCUGGUUCUCCCCGAAAGCUAUUUAGGUAGCGCCUCGUGAACUCAUCUUCGGGGGUAGAGCACUGUUUCGGCUAGGGGGUCAUCCCGACUUACCAACCCGAUGCAAACUACGAAUACCGAAGAAUGUUAUCACGGGAGACACACGGCGGGUGCUAACGUCCGUCGUGAAGAGGGAAACAACCCAGACCGCCAGCUAAGGUCCCAAAGUCAUGGUUAAGUGGGAAACGAUGUGGGAAGGCACAGACAGCCAGGAUGUUGGCUUAGAAGCAGCCAUCAUUUAAAGAAAGCGUAAUAGCUCACUGGUCGAGUCGGCCUGCGCGGAAGAUGUAACGGGGCUAAACCAUGCACCGAAGCUGCGGCAGCGACACUAUGUGUUGUUGGGUAGGGGAGCGUUCUGUAAGCCUGCGAAGGUGGCCUGUGAGGGUUGCUGGAGGUAUCAGAAGUGCGAAUGCUGACAUAAGUAACGAUAAAGCGGGUGAAAAGCCCGCUCGCCGGAAGACCAAGGGUUCCUGUCCAACGUUAAUCGGGGCAGGGUGAGUCGACCCCUAAGGCGAGGCCGAAAGGCGUAGUCGAUGGGAAACAGGUUAAUAUUCCUGUACUUGGUGUUACUGCGAAGGGGGGACGGAGAAGGCUAUGUUAGCCGGGCGACGGUUGUCCCGGUUUAAGCAUGUAGGCUGAUUAUCCAGGCAAAUCCGGAUAAUCAAGGCUGAGGUGUGAUGACGAGGCACUACGGUGCUGAAGUAACAAAUGCCCUGCUUCCAGGAAAAGCCUCUAAGCAUCAGGUAACAUCAAAUCGUACCCCAAACCGACACAGGUGGUCAGGUAGAGAAUACCAAGGCGCUUGAGAGAACUCGGGUGAAGGAACUAGGCAAAAUGGUGCCGUAACUUCGGGAGAAGGCACGCUGGU